AGCGUACACGGUGGAUGCCCUGGCAGUCAGAGGCGAUGAAGGACGUGCUAAUCUGCGAUAAGCGUCGGUAAGGUGAUAUGAACCGUUAUAACCGGCGAUUUCCGAAUGGGGAAACCCAGUGUGAUUCGUCACACUAUCAUUAACUGAAUCCAUAGGUUAAUGAGGCGAACCGGGGGAACUGAAACAUCUAAGUACCCCGAGGAAAAGAAAUCAACCGAGAUUCCCCCAGUAGCGGCGAGCGAACGGGGAGCAGCCCAGAGCCUGAAUCAGUGUGUGUGUUAGUGGAAGCGUCUGGAAAGGCGCGCGAUACAGGGUGACAGCCCCGUACACAAAAAUGCACAUGCUGUGAGCUCGAUGAGUAGGGCGGGACACGUGGUAUCCUGUCUGAAUAUGGGGGGACCAUCCUCCAAGGCUAAAUACUCCUGACUGACCGAUAGUGAACCAGUACCGUGAGGGAAAGGCGAAAAGAACCCCGGCGAGGGGAGUGAAAAAGAACCUGAAACCGUGUACGUACAAGCAGUGGGAGCACAGAGCAAUCUGUGUGACUGCGUACCUUUUGUAUAAUGGGUCAGCGACUUAUAUUCUGUAGCAAGGUUAACCGAAUAGGGGAGCCGAAGGGAAACCGAGUCUUAACUGGGCGUUAAGUUGCAGGGUAUAGACCCGAAACCCGGUGAUCUAGCCAUGGGCAGGUUGAAGGUUGGGUAACACUAACUGGAGGACCGAACCGACUAAUGUUGAAAAAUUAGCGGAUGACUUGUGGCUGGGGGUGAAAGGCCAAUCAAACCGGGAGAUAGCUGGUUCUCCCCGAAAGCUAUUUAGGUAGCGCCUCGUGAAUUCAUCUCCGGGGGUAGAGCACUGUUUCGGCAAGGGGGUCAUCCCGACUUACCAACCCGAUGCAAACUGCGAAUACCGGAGAAUGUUAUCACGGGAGACACACGGCGGGUGCUAACGUCCGUCGUGAAGAGGGAAACAACCCAGACCGCCAGCUAAGGUCCCAAAGUCAUGGUUAAGUGGGAAACGAUGUGGGAAGGCCCAGACAGCCAGGAUGUUGGCUUAGAAGCAGCCAUCAUUUAAAGAAAGCGUAAUAGCUCACUGGUCGAGUCGGCCUGCGCGGAAGAUGUAACGGGGCUAAACCAUGCACCGAAGCUGCGGCAGCGACGCUUAUGCGUUGUUGGGUAGGGGAGCGUUCUGUAAGCCUGCGAAGGUGUGCUGUGAGGCAUGCUGGAGGUAUCAGAAGUGCGAAUGCUGACAUAAGUAACGAUAAAGCGGGUGAAAAGCCCGCUCGCCGGAAGACCAAGGGUUCCUGUCCAACGUUAAUCGGGGCAGGGUGAGUCGACCCCUAAGGCGAGGCCGAAAGGCGUAGUCGAUGGGAAACAGGUUAAUAUUCCUGUACUUGGUGUUACUGCGAAGGGGGGACGGAGAAGGCUAUGUUGGCCGGGCGACGGUUGUCCCGGUUUAAGCGUGUAGGCUGGUUUUCCAGGCAAAUCCGGAAAACUAAGGCUGAGGCGUGAUGACGAGGCACUACGGUGCUGAAGCAACAAAUGCCCUGCUUCCAGGAAAAGCCUCUAAGCAUCAGGUAACAUCAAAUCGUACCCCAAACCGACACAGGUGGUCAGGUAGAGAAUACCAAGGCGCUUGAGAGAACUCGGGUGAAGGAACUAGGCAAAAUGGUGCCGUAACUUCGGGAGAAGGCACGCUGAUAUGUAGGUGAAGCGACUUGCUCGUGGAGCUGAAAUCAGUCGAAGAUACCAGCUGGCUGCAACUGUUUAUUAAAAACACAGCACUGUGCAAACACGAAAGUGGACGUAUACGGUGUGACGCCUGCCCGGUGCCGGAAGGUUAAUUGAUGGGGUCAGCGCAAGCGAAGCUCUUGAUCGAAGCCCCGGUAAACGGCGGCCGUAACUAUAACGGUCCUAAGGUAGCGAAAUUCCUUGUCGGGUAAGUUCCGACCUGCACGAAUGGCGUAAUGAUGGCCAGGCUGUCUCCACCCGAGACUCAGUGAAAUUGAACUCGCUGUGAAGAUGCAGUGUACCCGCGGCAAGACGGAAAGACCCCGUGAACCUUUACUAUAGCUUGACACUGAACAUUGAGCCUUGAUGUGUAGGAUAGGUGGGAGGCUUUGAAGUGUGGACGCCAGUCUGCAUGGAGCCGACCUUGAAAUACCACCCUUUAAUGUUUGAUGUUCUAACGUUGACCCGUGAUCCGGGUUGCGGACAGUGUCUGGUGGGUAGUUUGACUGGGGCGGUCUCCUCCUAAAGAGUAACGGAGGAGCACGAAGGUUGGCUAAUCCUGGUCGGACAUCAGGAGGUUAGUGCAAUGGCAUAAGCCAGCUUGACUGCGAGCGUGACGGCGCGAGCAGGUGCGAAAGCAGGUCAUAGUGAUCCGGUGGUUCUGAAUGGAAGGGCCAUCGCUCAACGGAUAAAAGGUACUCCGGGGAUAACAGGCUGAUACCGCCCAAGAGUUCAUAUCGACGGCGGUGUUUGGCACCUCGAUGUCGGCUCAUCACAUCCUGGGGCUGAAGUAGGUCCCAAGGGUAUGGCUGUUCGCCAUUUAAAGUGGUACGCGAGCUGGGUUUAGAACGUCGUGAGACAGUUCGGUCCCUAUCUGCCGUGGGCGCUGGAGAACUGAGGGGGGCUGCUCCUAGUACGAGAGGACCGGAGUGGACGCAUCACUGGUGUUCGGGUUGUCAUGCCAAUGGCACUGCCCGGUAGCUAAAUGCGGAAGAGAUAAGUGCUGAAAGCAUCUAAGCACGAAACUUGCCCCGAGAUGAGUUCUCCCUGACUCCUUGA
rnacentral:rRNA from 1 species